rnacentral:rRNA from 1 species
CUACGGGAGGCAGCAGUGGGGAAUAUUGGACAAUGGGCGAAAGCCUGACGCAGCCAUGCCGCGUGAAUGAUGAAGGUCUUAGGAUUGUAAAAUUCUUUCACCGGGGAAGAUAAUGACGGUACCCGGAGAAGAAGCCCCGGCUAACUUCGUGCCAGCAGCCGCGGUAAUACGAAGGGGGCUAGCGUUGCUCGGAAUUACUGGGCGUAAAGGGCGCGUAGGCGGACAGUUUAGUCAGAGGUAAAAGCCCAGGGCUCAACCUUGGAACUGCCUUUGAUACUGGCUGUCUUGAGUUCGGGAGAGGUGAGUGGAAUGCCGAGUGUAGAGGUGAAGUUCGUAGAUAUUCGGAGGAACACCAGUGGCGAAGGCGGCUCACUGGUCCGGUACUGACGCUGAGGUGCGAAAGCGUGGGGAGCAAACAGGAUUAGAUACCCCGGUAGUCC